rnacentral:rRNA from 1 species
CCAAUAGCGUAUAUUAAAGUUGUUGCAGUUAAAAAGCUCGUAGUUGAAUUUCGGGAUCAAUAUAUCGGUCGUGCCUUUGGUACGUACUGGUAUCAUUGAUUUCUCCUUUCUGACGAAUCAUGAUGUCAUUAAUUUGGUGUUAUGAGGAGUUAGGACUGUUACUUUGAAAAAAUUAGAGUGUUUAAAGCAGGCAUUAGCUUGAAUACAUUAGCAUGGAAUAAUGAAAUAGGACGUUUGACCCUAUUUUGUUGGUUUUUAGGAUCGACGUAAUGAUUAAUAGGGAUAGUUGGGGGCAUUAGUAUUCAAUUGUCAGAGGUGAAAUUCUUGGAUUUAUUGAAGACUAACUACUGCGAAAGCAUUUGCCAAGGAUGUUUUCAUUAAUCAAGAACGAAAGUUAGGGGAUCGAAGACGAUCAGAUACCGUCGUAGUCUUAACCAUAAACUAUGCCGACUAGGGAUCGGAUGAUGUUAAUUUUAUAAUGACUCAUUCGGCGCCUUACG